rnacentral:rRNA from 1 species
CAGUCGACGGCAGCAUAGGAGCUUGCUCCUGAUGGCGAGUGGCGAACGGGUGAGUAAUAUAUCGGAACGUGCCCUAGAGUGGGGGAUAACUAGUCGAAAGACUAGCUAAUACCGCAUACGAUCUACGGAUGAAAGUGGGGGAUCGCAAGACCUCAUGCUCCUGGAGCGGCCGAUAUCUGAUUAGCUAGUUGGUGGGGUAAAAGCCUACCAAGGCAACGAUCAGUAGCUGGUCUGAGAGGACGACCAGCCACACUGGGACUGAGACACGGCCCAGACUCCUACGGGAGGCAGCAGUGGGGAAUUUUGGACAAUGGGGGCAACCCUGAUCCAGCAAUGCCGCGUGAGUGAAGAAGGCCUUCGGGUUGUAAAGCUCUUUUGUCAGGGAAGAAACGGUAGUAGCGAAUAACUAUUACUAAUGACGGUACCUGAAGAAUAAGCACCGGCUAACUACGUGCCAGCAGCCGCGGUAAUACGUAGGGUGCAAGCGUUAAUCGGAAUUACUGGGCGUAAAGCGUGCGCAGGCGGUUGUGUAAGUCAGAUGUGAAAUCCCCGGGCUCAACCUGGGAAUUGCAUUUGAGACUGCACGGCUAGAGUGUGUCAGAGGGGGGUAGAAUUCCACGUGUAGCAGUGAAAUGCGUAGAUAUGUGGAGGAAUA